AGAGAGGUAAAAAGUUCACAAAAAAAAAAACCUUGUUUUUAACCUUCUCUCUUCUAAAGCGACGUGGAUGAAGCCACCGCCCCUCUUCCCUCUCCGAGAUGUCGAACGUCGCCACUCUUCUCUACCCUUGCGCCAAAACCCUAGCCUCUACUAACCAAAGGCUCCCAUCUUUCGCUUCCCCGAGGCCGAGAACCCAUGCUCCCGGGAGAAUUUCCACCUUUCAUCGGCUACUCCCUUCCAUCCGACACCGUUGGAUCACCCUUCGGUGCUCCUCCGACCAAGCCGCGGGGGAACAGUUUGGCACCGAGAAUCAAAACGCCCAGGAUAAAUCGAACUCGAGCAAUAACUUUUGGACGAAGUGGAUGAUGUAUACAGGAGAAAUGAGAUCAAGAGUGGCGAAGCUGGGGCUCGCAGCUGUUCUAGCUUAUGGUCUCUUUGAUGGAGUGACCUACACGACCUUCUUUAUUCUUGCCUUUCUUGGUUAUGAGAAAAGUACUGGGAAGAACCCAGCAGCCAAUCUCCAGGCCCUCUUAGGGUGUUAAAAGCGAGGAGUUUGUAUGUGGUUGGAGGCAUACUGAAUACUAAGUGAGAGCUUUGUUCGUAUAUAACCAUUUAUGGGGCAGACAGACAAGAAGUAUGGUAUAAAGGCAGUGCAUUUCAGGUUAUAUAACAGAGUAAACGUAUGACUUAUAGUGAGGAAUGCAAGUUUUAUUUUCACCAAUGCAAUAACAUAAAUAUCUUGUAUGCUGCUAUUGUCUUAGCAGGUCCAAUAUAAUGUUAUCAUUUUCUAAAUGUAAAUACAUUUUCUAGUUGAUGUUGUAUUUCCCAUAUCCAACUGUUUGGUACUCCAAAAUUAUUUAAUAUUUCCAGAUCUUGUAAGAUUUAUUUUGUCAUAUCUUGCUUAUUCAUGAUUAGCUAUCCUAUAUAAUCUUAUUUAAUUUACUAAAUUACGUCUAAUAUACAACUUCAUCUGAUUUGAAUCCAACCACAUUUGUAUGCAAUGGAUUGUAGAGAGGCGUGAUGUCCAAAAUUAUAACUGAUGUCUUCAGCAAAUUCCCAAAAUUUUCGGCUAUUAGAUUCAUUUAUAAGACCUUACAAACUUGUACGGCCCAUCUAGAGAUAAAACAAGUGAUGCCUUCUCCAAAUUCACAAAAUUUUCCACCGUUGAAGGCAUUUAUAAACGCUUUUUUCUAUGGAAGGCAUUUAUAAGACUUUACAAACUUAUAUGUCCCAUAAAGAGAUAAAUUUCAAUGUGGGGAUAUAGUCAACUUUGUUGAAUCAAUUCAAGGUUGCUAAAUGUCAAGAAAAUCUGGUUACCUUCCCUCCUGGAUGGAUUUGAUUCAAUGAAUAAGCACAAGAAGUUGGCAUGAUAUCACAGCUCAAAUUAUAUUGACAUUCCCAUCAUGAUUUAAGGUGAUUUAGUCACUUUCACAAAAAAAAGGAGGUUAUGUACUUGAUGUAUUACAAAGCAGAUGAGAUAUAAGAGGGUUUGGCCUUCAAGAUCAUUGAUUCUGCAUUGACAAGAUUCAGAUGUGGGAAAUCAACGAGAAAUCCCUUUUCCUUUGUUGUGAAUACUAGCAAAACAAUUUUCAGCAUAACAUUCACCAAAUUGUGACAAGAACCUGUUUUCUUAUGCAAAAUAUUUGAUCUUUUUUGUUUCAUGGAGCAUAGUAUAACUAUUAGCAAAGAAUCUGUAAAACACUCCCUGAUCUCUCAUUAAGCAAAACCAGUCAAUGAGCAUGAAGAUCUUAAUCCGGCUUCAGAGCAAUCAUUACCCUUUUCUUCCUUUUUUUCCCUUUAUUUUAAAAGGAAAGGUGAAAAUCCACUUUGUUUCUAUUAAGAAACAAAAAACAGCCUGCAGUAUAAGCUCGGAUUGUGCAGUUUAAAUCUGCAAGCUGAGAGAGACCAGGCACCUAAAGAAUAAAGAAGGACCACCCCAAUAAACAACUAAAUCAUCGCCAAGCAACAGCAUGGAAGUUCAUACAUCAAGAACAUAGUUCUCUGUCUUAGUCUGUCUGAUCCACAUGCACCCAUUCGAAGUGAAGUCUCAAUCCCUAAUCUGUUGGACACUAUUGUAUGAUAUAAAUGCUUACUUUGGUUUCAACUGUCCUUCAGUUUGGCUACUAAAAGAUGGUUAUUACCUCUACAAUACUUGUUUUGGGUUAUUGACUCUUUUGAUAGUUUGUACAAUUUAAUAGAUAGUGAUCAUAAUGUGGACUGGAAACAAUGUUACAAGACCAUUUCGAGUUGCUGGGGCAGCUGCAUUGGCACCAGUCAUUGAUAAAGGAUUAAAGAGGAUACAGAAGUACUUUAAUUUUCCGAGUCAAAUCUAUGCCUUUUCCCUUGUGGUGGGCAUUGUAGCUGCAACCUGCCUCAUGGUUGUUGGUCUGCUGAUACUCUCAAAAUGGGGAAAAUAGACAACUAAGACACUACGCAUCAAAAGAGCACCGAGAGACUGCUAAUGCUGAAAUCCAGGUGCAGUUCCUACCUAUUCUCGCAACAGAAAUCACAUGUUUGGGCAAGAAGUGUGUACAUCUUUUUUAAAUCAUCCCCUUUAUUACACUGCAGUAAUUGUAUCCUUAUGAUGCUAUGUUUAGACCAACUGCUAGGUGAUAUAUAAGCCAACAUAAUGCAACUGGAUAUCAAAUUUUAUAUUUGCAAAAUUAGGGCAUCAGUCAUGCUUCACCCUGGACGAUGAAACAAUUCAGUGAAAUUGUUGUGUUCAUUGAUAUUUAGGUGACCCACAAAGUUAUAAACAGCAUACCAUCUCUUACAAGUUUGCUUUCCUAUAAGUAUUAUAUGCUUGCAGCUUCAAAGACAAAAAAAUAUUAAAAAUCCUGGGUGAAAAUAUAUUGCAUUCUGUGACUGCUAAACCUGUUGUGAAUUAGUAAUAUUCUGCAUCAGCUGACCUCAAGUUAAACUUUUCAAGGACCUUAGAUGGUUGAUCAUGGAGAAGAUACUUAAAGGAAAAGAAGGAAAAAAAAAUCUAUUGAAUUUAUCACUUAGGAGAACCAGCAAAAAAAGCACACUGAGGUAGUUGAAGUAAGUCGAUCCAGUUUUUAGUCUGGAUGGUAGCAUGUCUGAGUUGAAAAAGUUAACAGCUGUUUUAGAAAGAAGGGAGAAGGCUGCAAUUUUGACGAACUUUCAGUUUUGGAGAACACUUUCAUAGGCAAUCAAACAUUUGAUAAGGGACUUAAUUACAAUCUGCUCUACAUAUCUUUCAAGCAGAUGGCUUUUUUAAAUCAUUACUUCCACUGUUAUGAAGGCUAAGGUAUUGCACUGCUGCUUCCAUCAGUAUGCAUUGUAAGAAACCAGACUUAUUACAAGGUACUGUUACUUUCAAGACUGAAUUGAGGAGCAAAAUGGUGGAUUUAUAUAUUUCUUGUCAGUUGUAAACAUAUCUGUAACCAUCAUUACUAUUAUGUAUUUGUAGAUAUAGAUGUCUCAUUUGAAACUUGUGCUCGAUAAUACCAGAGAGCAUGUGACAGCCUUUUGUAUGCAGGCAUUCAUUAGGCUAUAUUGUCCAAGUUGGACUGAGGUAUUUUUAUCUUGCCAUCAUAUGAAUUUAGUCAAUUUAUCUCUAAACAACACUUCUAAGAGAUUGUAUUAAGGCUUGAACUUUUGUCUCUCCUAAUGCCUGAAUUUUGAUAAUACGCUAACUCAUUAUUUAAAAUUGAACAUUUAUGAAUAUAUAAUGCAUGAUUUCCUUCACCAUCCAAGAGAUGCAUAAUGAUUCUUUAUGCAAGAAACUGCUUCCAGUCAUCCAAUAAAUGAAGUUGCUUUAUAUGAAAGGUCAAUCCAAUCUUUUCCUAGUUAACCAUAAAUUGCUUCUUUGAAUAACUCCAAAAUCUUUACCCCUCUGAGCUAGAUCUGCAAUAUAAGGUUGACAUAUUGUUGAGUAUUUCUUCUGAAUAUGUUAUUUUCUGUUUUCUUGGCAGAUCAUCCUUAAUUCUUAUGGUUACAUUGGGGCACAUAUUCCUAAUUUUAACAUCUCUCUACAGGGUAAAAUUUGAAUCCUCAGCCUCCUAAGGAAAGGAUUCCCUUAUUUGUCUUUUUGCUUGAUAUUGUAAAUAUAUAGUAAUUUUCAGUCUAUUCCUUUUAAAGAUGAAUUUAGAACAUCAUAUUCAAAUUAAGCCUUCUGUUUAUAUCUUAUUCAGAAAUUUUUGUAGAACUUAAUUAUGACUUCAUAUCUCAAAUGAAACCAAUGUGAAAUCUUGUUCUAACUACGACUCUCAAAAAUAAACAACCCAAGAAUAUCGGAUCCAAUUUCAUGGAGUCGAGAUAUCAUAAAUAAGAAAGAGAUCCAUUUUGUUGGCUUUGGAGUUAGAAAUAUUCUUAUGGUGAAUAAAAUGCCUUAAAAUCUUAACACUAACUUAUUUGGAGAAAAAUAGUUUACCACAAGUAAAAGAAACCUCAUAAAUAUAUGGUUUCUUUUUUAUUCGGUAAACAAAGAUUACUUAAAUAUCUAAGGGCAUUUGGGACUAGGAAAUUUUAAGUUAUGAUACGAUAUUGUUGAUCUAGCCAUCGGUUCUUCCAAGCUGAAAUAUUUUGGGAACUUACAGAAACAAAGUAUCUUAUUUGGGAUUUGAAGGGUCAAACUAUAGUUUGCCCAGUAUACAGUAAUAUGCCCCUUACUCAGAGAUAGAAAUUCUGAUCAUCAAUGAGGCCUUGCAGAUCUGUAAUGCUUAAAUUUCCGGGGAGCUCGCCAAAUGACAUGCUGGUCACCAUAGGAUUCUCAGGCCCACCCUCUGUUCUUGGUUGCAAGUCAGUAGCAUAUGCUUGAUUAUACAUGGCUGCUUGGUUAUACAUGGCUGCUUGGUUACUUGAUGUGUGGAUGCUUGGCAUGCCAGAUGGAUUUGCAGGAAAGCUCCAAGUAGAUGCCGUUGGAACAGGACCCAUGGUUAUAUUGGGAACAGGUACAGGGCUUGGGGCCAUAUCUAAAAUGGCUGCCUGAGUGGCGCUGUUAUGCCAAAAAUAGAAUAAAGGAGAUUUUUAGCUUUCUCAGGAAUAGACUAUCCACAAUUUAUGAAUACUAUGUAUAUCUUCUAACAAAAUUUAUGAAGUUGUAUAAGUAUGUGAACCGGCUGUAGUCAUUAACAUCCUUAAAAGCAUGUGUUCUUGCUUCAUAUAAUAGAAACAACUUGUAGAAUUAUUUACCUGAAGUGAAGGUGGCAUAAAUAUCCAAGUUUGCUU